AGUAUGGAUGUGUAAAUCUUUAUAAUGCAUCAUGGAAUAUCCAUCACUGAAGACCAACAUUUUGCUACAUCAGGUAAUCUUUUUAUUAUGCUUCAAUACUAUUGUUUUCCAAUAAUCUCACGUCUAAGCCAAAUAGCUAUCUCUCUCUAUAUCCGUCUCUCUCUCUCUUUCUCUCUCUAUCUCCCUCUCUCUCUCUCUCUCUCACACACACACACACACACACACCCACACAC
rnacentral:lncRNA from 1 species